rnacentral:tRNA from 1 species
GCGCCCGUAGCUCAGCUGGAUAGAGUACUUGGCUACGAACUAAGGGGUCGCAUGUUCGAAUCAUGCCGGGCGCACCA